rnacentral:rRNA from 1 species
UACGAAGGGGACUAGCGUUGUUCGGAAUUACUGGGCGUAAAGCGCACGUAGGCGGAUUUGUUAGUCAGGGGUGAAAUCCCGGGGCUCAACCUCGGAACUGCCUUUGAUACUGCAAGUCUCGAGUCCGAUAGAGGUGGGUGGAAUUCCUAGUGUAGAGGUGAAAUUCGUAGAUAUUAGGAAGAACACCGGUGGCGAAGGCGGCCCACUGGAUCGGUACUGGACGCUGAGGUGCGAAAGCGUGGGGAGCAAACAGGAUU